GCAUUUCAGUCUCUACCUGAUAUCUCAAAAGCUAUUUCAGAACUCACUGUCUUGAAAGGCGUUGGUCCAGCUACGGCCUCUGCAGUUCUGGCUGCUUUUGCACCGGAUAUUGCACCUUUUAUGUCGGAUGAAGUAAUUUUAUCAUUACCUUCUUGCUAUGGAAAACUCUAUUUGAUUCUCUGCGAUUUGAUGAUUGAAGUGUAAUUAGAUGAUUGAUUUAUGUGAAAAUGCUGUUGUUCUUAGGCAAUGGUGGCUGCAAAUGGUAACUCGAAAGACUAUACUCUGAAGCAGUAUCUAGUUUUAGUGGACAAAUUGCAGGCAAAAUCCAAGGUUAGCUAGACUUCCGCAGUUCUGGCUGCUUUCGCACCGGAUAUUGCACCUUUUAUGUUGGAUGAAGUAAUUUUACCAUUACUUUCUUGCUGUGGAAAACUCUAUUUGAUUCUCUGCAAUUUGAUGAUUGAAGUGUAGUUAGAUGAUUGAUUUAUGUGAAAAUGCUCUUGUUCUUAGGCAAUGGUAGCUGCAAAU
rnacentral:lncRNA from 1 species